CAAGACAGCAGCGACUCAUUUGACAAGUCCUUCACAUUUCACCCCGAUGUCGUACAACAAUCUCAAAAUUCUCGUGAAAAACGACAAAGUUAAAGUUUUAGCCCGAACGGUACUUCGGUUUCGAAACUCGAAGUAUGCAAAUCAUUUGCCAAAGUUAUCGGCGAUUCAGACUUGGAGGUACCUUAACAAAUUUGGUAAGGAACACAGACAUUAGGGGCGUCAGGUUUAAACACACCCGAGGACCUCUACCGUGGGAAUGCAAAGACAAAUUCGCUGAUAAACCCCAGAAGAAAUUCAGAAAGGCGGAAGUCGAGACUGUGGUAGAAAAAGAGUGUCCGGAUAAGUGCGCUGUGUUACAGAAACCCAAGCGCAACACGUACGAGUGGGUGGUCGACGACGACGCCAAACCGUGCAAACCCUUCAAGAUUAAAGCCGUUAUUGAGAAAAGCGUGUGCGAAAUGCGGAGAUUCAAGGAGUGUUUGCACAAGUGCGGCGACCCGGCGCUCUGCCAAAACCUAGUACCCGACUGCAGCAAAAUCACCAAAAUAUACCCCAUGAUGGAAGCCAUCGAAAAAGGGUCGAUACCUGGCUGUGCCCGGCCUCUAGAAACCAAGAAACAAGCGAGCUAAACGUCAAAAAAUCAACAAAAUUUUCGUAGAAUGAGCAUCCUUCUGAGGCGCGGCAACAAGAACGUUACAUGGGCUGUCAGAUAUUUCUACUACCGGAGGGUUCAAGAAGGAUGCGAGUGUCCCGAGCCUGAAAAGUACCCCAUUGUAGAGGAAAAAAAGUGCGGCUGCAGUUUCACAACCUGGAAACCGAAAUCAAGGAAAGUGCUUGAGUGCGAAACGCGGAGAGCAACUAGGAGGAGGAAGGAAUCAAGACGCUGUUACGCCGGAAUGCAAGUUAAAAAACCUCCACCGGAUUGUGAUCCUGCUGAAACAGACCCGUUCAAGGGGAAAUGUUGCCGCCAACAGAAAAAACCCAAAGAACAGCAGCCGCCGGAACUUUUCGAAAAAAAAAUGCCUGCUGCCGACUGGGACGUCGACUGCUAAAUCAUGAAAAACACCGGAACAAAGAAUAAAGUAAAGUAACUGAAUGAACAAUGGGUUUCAGGAGGUGUAGUUGGACAUAUGGUCGAAGAUAGGGCGUCGAGUGUUGCUUCCGGAAAAUUAUCAGUCAUCCAUCAUGCUGUGCGAUGGAUCUAUCGAGAGAAAAUUACGUAAAAUACUCGUGGAGUGUCGCCUAAUGUCGACUAUCAUCGGAAACGGAAGACACGCAUGCGUAUUGCUCAUGUCCCAAGAUUACUUUUACU